rnacentral:rRNA from 1 species
AUUGAACGCUGGCGGCGUGCCUAACACAUGCAAGUCGAGCGGAGCGGCGGACGGGUGAGUAAUGACUAGGCAUCUGCCUGGUCGUGGGGGAUAACGUCCGGAAACGGGCGCUAAUACCGCAUACUAUCAGAUGAGCCUAGGUCGGAUUCGCUAGUGGGUGGGGUAAAGGCCUACAAAGGCGACGAUCCGUAACUGGUCUGAGAGGAUGAUCAGUCACACUGGAACUGAGACACGGUCCAGACUCCUACGGGAGGCAGCAGUGGGGAAUAUUGGAAAAGGGGCGAAAGCCUGACCCAGCCAUGCCGCGUGUGUGAAGAAGGUCUUCGGAUUGUAAAGCACUUUAAGUUGGGAGGCGUUACCAACAGAAUAAGCACCGGCUAACUUCGUGCCAGCAGCCGCGGUAAUAC